AAUAGAUACCCCGGUAGUCCUAGCCGUAAACGAUGAACACUAGGCGUAGUCGGGUAUCGACCCCGGCUGUGCCGUAGCUAACGCAUUAAGUGUUCCGCCUGGGGAGUACGGCCGCAAGGCUAAAACUCAAAGGAAUUGACGGGGGCCCGCACAAGCAGCGGAGCGUGUGGUUUAAUUCGUCGCAACGCGAAGAACCUUACCAGGGCUUGACAUGUGGCGGAAAACGGCGGAAACGUCGUCCUCCCGCAAGGGACCGUCAUGCAGGUGUUGCAUGGCUGUCGUCAGCUCGUGUCGUAAGAUGUUGGGUUAAGUCCCGCAACGAGCGCAACCCCCGUGGCAUGUUGUAUCUCUCAUGCCAGACUGCCGAGAGAAACUCGGAGGAAGGUGGGGAUGACGCCAAGUCAGCAUGGCCCUUACGUCCUGGGCUACACACACGCUACAAUGGCCGGUACAACGGGUUGCCAAACCGCGAGGUGGAGCUAAUCCCUUAAAGCCGGUCUCAGUUCGGAUUGCAGGCUGCAACUCGCCUGCAUGAAGCCGGU
rnacentral:rRNA from 1 species